GUGGGGAAUUUUGGACAAUGGGCGCAAGCCUGAUCCAGCAAUGCCGCGUGCAGGAAGAAGGCCUUCGGGUUGUAAACUGCUUUUGUACGGAACGAAACGGUCCGGGUUAAUACCCUGGGCUAAUGACGGUACCGUAAGAAUAAGCACCGGCUAACUACGUGCCAGCAGCCGCGGUAAUACGUAGGGUGCAAGCGUUAAUCGGAAUUACUGGGCGUAAAGCGUGCGCAGGCGGUUUUGUAAGACAGGCGUGAAAUCCCCGGGCUCAACCUGGGAAUUGCGCUUGUGACUGCAAGGCUGGAGUGCGGCAGAGGGGGAUGGAAUUCCGCGUGUAGCAGUGAAAUGCGUAGAUAUGCGGAGGAACACCGAUGGCGAAGGCAAUCCCCUGGGCCUGCACUGACGCUCAUGCACGAAAGCGUGGGGAGCAAACAGGAUUAGAUACCCCAGUAGUCC
rnacentral:rRNA from 1 species